CAGUAGCCGCGGGAAUACGUAGGGUGCAAGCGUUAAUCGGAAUUACUGGGCGUAAAGCGUGCGCAGGCGGUUAUAUAAGACAGAUGUGAAAUCCCCGGGCUCAACCUGGGAACUGCAUUUGUGACUGUAUAGCUAGAGUACGGCAGAGGGGGAUGGAAUUCCGCGUGUAGCAGUGAAAUGCGUAGAUAUGCGGAGGAACACCGAUGGCGAAGGCAAUCCCCUGGGCCUGUACUGACGCUCAUGCACGAAAGCGUGGGGAGCAAACAGGAUUAGAGACCCCUGUAGUCCCUGUCUCUUAUAU
rnacentral:rRNA from 1 species